GUGUCAGCAGCCGCGGUAAUACGGAGGGUGCGAGCGUUGUCCGGAAUCAUUGGGCGUAAAGGGCGCGUAGGUGGCCUGGUCAGUUCGUGGUGAAAGCGCGGGGCUCAACCCCGCGUCGGCCAUGAAUACUGCGAGGCUGGAGCACUGUAGAGGCAGGCGGAAUUCCGGGUGUAGCGGUGGAAUGCGUAGAGAUCCGGAAGAACACCGGUGGCGAAGGCGGCCUGCUGGGCAGUUGCUGACACUGAGGCGCGACAGCGUGGGGAGCAAACAGGAUUAGAUACCCUUGUAGUCC
rnacentral:rRNA from 1 species